rnacentral:tRNA from 1 species
UAGCUUAGUAGUAAAGUAUUUGCUCACCAUGCAGAAGGCCCUGGGUUCGAUUCCCAG